rnacentral:rRNA from 1 species
AACGUAGGACACGAGCGUUAUCCGGAGUUACUGGGCGUAAAGGGCGUUCAGGCGGGUGAUUAAGUUCGCUAUGAAAGCGCCGGGCUAAACCCGGCGAGGCUGGCGGAUACUGGUCAUCUGGAGUCGGCGAGAGGGAGGUAGAAUUCCGCGUGUAGUGGUGAAAUGCGUAGAGAUGCGGAGGAAUACCAGUGGCGAAGGCGGCCUCCUGGCGCACGACUGACGCUGAAGCGCGAAAGCAUGGGGAGCGAACGGG